UACGUAGGGUGCGAGCGUUAAUCGGAAUUACUGGGCGUAAAGCGUGCGCAGGCGGUUUUGUAAGCCAGAUGUGAAAUCCCCGGGCUUAACCUGGGAAUGGCAUUUGGGACUGCAAGGCUCGAGUGCGGCAGAGGAGACUGGAAUUCCUGGUGUAGCAGUGAAAUGCGUAGAUAUCAGGAGGAACACCGAUGGCGAAGGCAGGUCUCUGGGCUGACACUGACGCUGAGGAGCGAAAGCGUGGGGAGCGAACAGG
rnacentral:rRNA from 1 species